CGACCUACGGGUGGCAGCAGUGGGGAAUAUUGGACAAUGGGCGCAAGCCUGAUCCAGCCAUGCCGCGUGAGUGAUGAAGGCCUUAGGGUUGUAAAGCUCUUUUGUCCGGGAAGAUAAUGACUGUACCGGAAGAAUAAGCCCCGGCUAACUUCGUGCCAGCAGCGGCGGUAAUACGAAGGGGGCUAGCGUUGCUAGGAAUCAAUGGGCGUAAAGGGCGCGUAGGCGGACUUUUAAGUCGGAGGUGAAAGGCCAGGGCUUAACCCUGGAAUUGCCUGCGAUACGGGGAGUCUUGAGUUCGGAAGAGGUUGGUGGAACUGCGAGUGUAGAGGUGAAAUUCGUAGAUAUUCGCAAGAACACCGGUGGCGAAGGCGGCCAACUGGUCCGAAACUGACGCUGAGGCGCGAAAGCGUGGGGAGCAAACAGGAUUAGAUACCCUGGUAGUCCG
rnacentral:rRNA from 2 species